UACGGAGGAUGCGAGCGUUAUCAGGAUUUAUUGGGUUUAAAGGGUGCGUAGGCGGACUGUCAAGUCAGCGGUAAAAUACGGGGGCUCAACCUCCGCCCGCCGUUGAAACUGGCUGGCUUGAGUUGGGGAAAGGCAGGCGGAAUGCGCGGUGUAGCGGUGAAAUGCAUAGAUAUCGCGCAGAACUCCGAUUGCGAAGGCAGCAUGCCGGCUCCACACUGACGCUGAGGCACGAAAGCGUGGGUAUCGAACAGG
rnacentral:rRNA from 1 species